rnacentral:rRNA from 1 species
CGGACGAACGCUGGCGGCGUGCUUAACACAUGCAAGUCGAGCGAAGUAUUCAAGACAGAUUUCUUCGGAUUGAAGUCUUGAAUAUCUUAGCGGCGAACGGGUGAGUAACGCGUGAGAAACCUGCCUUUCACAAAGGGAUAGCCUCGGGAAACUGGGAUUAAUACCUUAUGAUACUUACAUUUCACAUGAGAAGUAAGUUAAAGCGCAAAGCGGUGAAAGAUGGGCUCGCGUCCUAUUAGCUAGUUGGUGAGGUAACGGCUCACCAAGGCGACGAUAGGUAGCCGGCCUGAGAGGGUGAACGGCCACACUGGAACUGAGACACGGUCCAGACUCCUACGGGAGGCAGCAGUGGGGGAUAUUGCACAAUGGAGGAAACUCUGAUGCAGCGACGCCGCGUGAGUGAAGAAGGCCUUCGGGUCGUAAAGCUCUGUCCUAGGGGAAGAUAAUGACGGUACCCUAGGAGGAAGCCCCGGCUAACUACGUG